rnacentral:rRNA from 1 species
UACGUAGGGGGCAAGCGUUGUCCGGAAUCAUUGGGCGUAAAGAGCGUGUAGGCGGCUUGGCAAGUCUCGCGUGAAAAUCCUGCGGCAUCCAACCGCAGGCGGUCGCGGGAAAACUGCCUCGCCUAGAGUCCGGAAAGAGGAGAGUGGAAUUCCUGGUGUAGCGGUGAAAUGCGCAGACUAUCAGGAAGAACACCAGUGGCGAAGGCGGCUCACUGGCCCGGUACUGAACG